UCACGUUAUCAAGGAGAGCGAAAAUUGGCAGAAAACUAAAGUUGUUUUGAUCUUUUAUGGUAAACAUAAAACUGUUCUGCGAUUUCAAGAGUGACAAAAUAAUCCUUCUACAACAGAAGGGAGUGUCCAAGAUUUCAAUAUUUCUGAAGGGAGCUGCUGACAGAAAUGUAGGAAGCGCUGAAAAGGUUAAGUAACCUAAUAUGCAUUUUUUUUCACAACAUAUAUCGCAAUGAAUCUGUUAUUUUAUUUAUUUAUUUUUUGCAUCUCACCUGCUCUAGCUUGUUUCCAUCUAAUAAACCUGGAACUGCAGACUAAAUAUUGUUGGCUCUGUGUCAAAUUGCUUGUUUUGUUCCUAGAUUCUUCAGUGCUGAUGGCCUGCUGCAUCCAGCAGAGUCGCAGUGAACCUACUGUAAGACAACAUCUCCAAGAUGCUAUUGACCACAAGACUAGUACAGGUUAUUAGAAACUGCACAGCACAGGACUUGCAGGACUUGUGAGGAUUCAGAUGAUACCAGUACUCAAAAGACCUUAGAUGAUGGCAACUAUAGAUGGACACACAAACUACCGCCACUGCAAAAAAGAUUCUAAUUUGAAAGAAGUUUAUAAUGCAUGUUCGCUACUCCCAAUUCAGAAGACUGAAUCAGCCUGUGUAUCUGAAUGUUUCUCAUACUCACUCCUCUCUGCCGCGUCUGAAUUUGGGAUUUUCCUUAGCUGUCAGUUAUAAACGUCAAUAUUAAAAGAAAUAAACAUUUGAAAUGUAUCAGUCUGUGUGUAAUGAAUAAAUAUAAUGUACAAGUUUCACUUUUUGAAUGGAAUUAGUGAAAUAAAUCAACUUUUUGAUGAUAUUCUAAUUAUAUGACCCGCACCUGUAUAUCAUUGCUCUUUUGUUGAUUUUGAUUGCUUCCAUUGUCCUCAUUUGUAAGUUGCUUUGGAUAAAAGUGUCUGCUAAAUGUAAAUGUAAUGUUAAUGUGUAUUUAACUAUAUUUAUAAAUAUUUAUCUGUAUUUUUUUAUUUUGUAAUAAUGUAAAUU